UACAGGGGGGGCAAGCGUUGUUCGGAAUUACUGGGCGUAAAGGGCCAGUAGGCGGCCCACUAAGUCACACGUGAAAUCCCCAGGCUUAACCUGGGAACUGCGUGUGAUACUGGAUGGCUUGAAUUCGGGAGAGGGAUGCAGAAUUCCAGGUGUAGCGGUGAAAUGCGUAGAUAUCUGGAGGAAUACCGGUGGCGAAGGCGGCAUCCUGGACCGACAUUGACGCUGAACGGCGAAAGCUAGGGGAGCAAACGGG
rnacentral:rRNA from 1 species